rnacentral:rRNA from 1 species
UACAGAGGUCUCAAGCGUUGUUCGGAUUCAUUGGGCGUAAAGGGUGCGUAGGCGGCGCGGUAAGUCGGGUGUGAAAUCUCGGGGCUUAACUCCGAAACUGCAUUCGAUACUACCGUGCUUGAGGACUGGAGAGGAGACUGGAAUUUACGGUGUAGCGGUGAAAUGCGUAGAUAUCGUAAGGAAGACCAGUGGCGAAGGCGGGUCUCUGGACAGUUCCUGACGCUGAGGCACGAAGGCCAGGGGACCAAACGGG